GGAUGAGCAGAACCAGCCCAGCCCCGAGGCCCCAGCGAGGGCCGCGCCUACCUCCAGCUCGUAGAAGGCCAUGAGCACGGCGAAGCUGGUCAGGUGGUUGCACUGGCAGCGGGUGAUGGUGGCAUUCAACUUCUGCAGGGUGCAGCUGUCGGUGGCCCAGCGCCUGCUGCCAGGCUCCCAGUAGGCGCAGAGGAGGCGCAGCUGAAACCUUGUCUGUGGGCGCAUCCUCCACACCAGGACAGUGACUUUUCCAGACUAGAAGGUGGAAAAAGAAGGCUCGGGAGGACAUGUUCAAUGAGUUAAUGCGUGACUCCGAGAGUGACAAGCCCGAGCUCAGUGCAUGGAGGAUUGCAGUGUCAGGAGAACAUGCACAGUGACCGUGAGGCUAGGAGAGUAUGCAGGGAACAGGAGCAUGACACGCAGGACGAGAUGGUUCGGAUUAUGAGGGAGCAAACAGACAUGUUGAGGCAUCUGGCUGAGGUUGAAGAAAGGCAGCUGGACACUAGAGUCCCGCUGCACCCUAUGCUGAACCUGCUGCCCUUGUUGCCAAGUCCCACAUCCUUCUCUCCCAGACUUCCUAGGAUGGGGGCAGGGGGAGAGGGGAAGCUCCGGUAUCCCUUGUACUCAACUCCAGGGGAGGGGACAAGGAACAGAAGGGGCCCAUGCCCACAGCUUUGAUUGUUAUUGUGGUACAAAUUGUAAGCAACGGGUCCUUGUUUCUCCCCCACCUCACAGUGUUAUCAGCCCCAUAGCCCCAGUUUCUCUUUACUUUUCUUUGCUGUCUCUCAUCAGUGUUUGUGAGCAUAAUAAAAGUUAAUGGCUUGAGGA